rnacentral:rRNA from 1 species
AUGCACGCUGGCGGCGUGCCUCAUCCAUGCAAGUCGAGCGAACAGACGAGGAGCUUGCUCCUCUGACGUUAGCGGCGGACGGGUGAGUAACACGUGGAUAACCUACCUAUAAGACUGGGAUAACUUCGGGAAACCGGAGCUAAUACCGGAUAAUAUAUUGAACCGCAUGGUUCAAUAGUGAAAGACGGUUUUGCUGUCACUUAUAGAUGGAUCCGCGCCGCAUUAGCUAGUUGGUAAGGUAACGGCUUACCAAGGCAACGAUGCGUAGCCGACCUGAGAGGGUGAUCGGCCACACUGGAACUGAGACACGGUCCAGACUCCUACGGGAGGCAGCAGUAGGGAAUCUUCCGCAAUGGGCGAAAGCUUGACGGAGCAACGCCGCGUGAGUGAAGAAGGUCUUCGGAUCGUAAAACUCUGUUAUUAGGGAAGAACAAAUGUGUAAGUAACUAUGCACGUCUUGACGGUACCUAAUCAGAAAGCCACGGCUAACUACGUG